CCUACGGGUGGCAGCAGUGGGGGAUAUUGCACAAUGGGGGAAACCCUGAUGCAGCGACGCCGCGUGGGCGAAGAAGGAUUUCGGUAUGUAAAGCCCUAUCAGCAGGGAAGAAGAAAUGACGGUACCUGACUAAGAAGCCCCGGCUAACUACGUGCCAGCAGCCGCGGUAAUACGUAGGGGGCGAGCGUUAUCCGGAUUCACUGGGUGUAAAGGGAGCGUAGACGGCCAUGCAAGCCAGGGGUGAAAGCCCGGGGCCCAACCCCGGGACUGCCGUUGGAACUGCAUGGCUGGAGUGCGGGAGGGGCAGGCGGAAUUCCGGGUGUAGCGGUGAAAUGCGUAGAUAUCAGGAGGAACACCGGCGGCGAAGGCGGCCUGCUGGACCGCGACUGACGUUGAGGCUCGAAAGCGUGGGGAGCGAACAGGAUUAGAUACCCCGGUAGUC
rnacentral:rRNA from 1 species